GUGAGUUCUGAGUUUGAUCUUAAUUAACACAUCACUUCUAAUGCUGCAGGUAAUUCCAUUCAGCCCUAAGAUGCUUGGAAUUUCUCUAUAUAUGUAUAUAGAUUCUAGGCAGAAUGAAUCUUUUUACUGCAACAGAGAUGAACCCGACAUAUAAGUAUCUCCUGGUAGUCUACAGUGUCAUGUGGCCACAUGCUGUCAUGUUUCAUUGGUAACUUGUGACUUCAAAAAAGGUUGUCCUGGCUGAUAGAGAAUUACAACAGUGCUUGGCAAGAUAUGAACUUACCUGAAACUAGAUGCCUAAAAUGGAGGAUCACCAUGCUGCAACUCUAGAAAAACAAGAAUUAAAGCUUGCAAGAGUGGCUGCUGUUGGAUUCUGUUAUAAUAGUGAAUUUUUUUUUUUGCCAUAGAUUUCCUAUUUUCCAGAUGCUGCAAUCUUUGACAAUAGGACAGAGUUUGUUGAAAAUUAAUGCAGUAAAUUGGUGGAAAAGUGAAGGUUUAGACAUGAAGUUGCUAGAGCAAAUCAUCUCCAGUAUAACAGGGUGUCCUGGUUCCAGCUAGGGUAGAGUUAAUUUCUUCUUAGUAGCUGUUACAAUGUUGUGUUUUGGAUUCAUAAUGAGAAUGGUGUUGAAAACACACUGGUGUUCUGGUUUUUUACUAUGUUGAGUUUAUCCUAAGUCAAGGACAUUUUUUCCCUGUCUCAUGCUCUGAAUGCC